GCUGGUACGUUCUUUCUUUUGAAAAAGCAAAAAUAGUUUAGAGAUUAUGAGCAGUGAGAAAGAAAUGACUCCGAACAGAGUUGUGAACUGGCCAUUCAGGACUCUAUAGUGAGGAUUUUCCUUCGAAAACUUGUUUUAGUGAAAAGAGAAAGAAAUGAAAAAGAAAAAGAAGAAGAAAAAAAAAAUACCAUGGUUUUUGUUAAUUAAAUCAUUACUAUUAAACCAGUCAUUAUUUUGGGGACGCC
rnacentral:lncRNA from 1 species